CCCCUUGGACCCCUCCCAGUAACUCCCAGUAACUCCCAGGAACUCCCAGUAACACCUCAGACCCUUUCCAGUAACUCCCAGUAAGUCCCAGUAACUCCCAGUAACCCCUCGGACCCCUCCCAGUAACUCCCAGUAACUCCCAGUAACUCCCAGUGACCCCUUGGACCCCUCCCAGUAACUCCCAGUAACCUCCCAGUAACUCCCAGUAACACCUUGGACCCCUCCCAGUAACUCCCAGUAACUCCCAGUAACUCCCAGUAACACCUCGGACCCCUCCCAGUAACUCCCAGUAACUCCCAGUGACCUUCCAGUAAAUCCCAGUAACUCCCAGUAACUCCCAGUAACCCCUUGGACCCCUCCCAGUAACUCCCAGUAACUCCCAGUAACUCCCAGUAACUCCCAGUAACCCUUUGGACCCCUCCCAGUAACUCCCAGUAACUCCCAGUAACUCCCAGUAACUCCCAGUAACCCCUUGGACCCCUCCCAGUAACUCCCAGUAACUCCCAGUGACCUUCCAGUAACUCCCAGUAACCUCCCAGUAACACCAUUAACCCCUCCCAGCGCCCCCCGGGGAUCCCAGUCCCUCCCAGUUCCCUCCCAGUCCCUCCCAGUUCCUCCCAGUAUAAACCAGUAUAAACCAGUUGCCCCAAAUCCUCUUUUUAACCCCUCCCAGUUCCCUCCCAGUAUGAACCAGUAACACUUUAUAACCCUCCCAGUUUGUCCCAGUUCCCUCCCAGUAUAACCCAGUCCCUCCCAGUUCCCUCCCAGUUCCUCCCAGUAUAAACCAGUUCCCUCCAAUCCCCUCCCAGUCCGUCCCAGUAUAAACCAGUAACACUUUUUACCCCUCCCAGUCCCUCCCAGUCCCUCCCAGUACAAACCAGUCCCUCCCAGUCCCUCCCAGUAUAAACCAGUUCCUCCCAGUUCCCUCCCAGUCCCUCCCAGUAUAAACCAGUCCAUCCCAGUCCAUCCCAGUUCCCUCCCAGUAUAAAUCAGUAACACUUUUUAACCCUCCCAGUACAAACCAGUAACCGCCAAUCCC
rnacentral:lncRNA from 1 species